GUGUACUGAUAAUACAUAUGAUGUGUUGCCCAAAGGUCUACUUGUGAUAUAUAUGAUGUGUUGCCCAAAGGUCUACUUGUGAUAUAUGUGAUGUGUUGCCCACACGUCUAUUGGUAAUAUAUGUAUGUGUUGCCCAAAGGUCUACUGAUAAUAUAUAUGAUGUGUUGCCCAAAGGUCUACUGGUGAUAUGU